UAUGUGAUCGUCUCUCGCAUAUCAAUAAGCGGAGGAAAAGAAACUAACAGGAUUCCCCUAGUAACGGCGAGUGAAGCGGGAAGAGCUCAAAUUUGAAAUCUUAAAGGGUUUCCCUUUACGAAUUGUAGUUUAAAGAAGUGUUUUCUGUUGAGGUUUUGGUAAAAGUUCUUUGGAAUAGGACAUCAUAGAGGGUGAGAAUCCCGUAUUUGACCUUUACUUUCAACUUUGUGAUACACUUUCAAAGAGUCGGAUUGUUUGGGAAUGCAGUCCAAAAUGGGUGGUAAAUUUCAUCUAAAGCCAAAUAUUGGCGAGAGACCGAUAGCGAACAAGUACCGUGAGGGAAAGAUGAAAAGAACUUUGAAAAGAGAGUUAAACAGUACGUGAAAUUGUCAAAAGGGAAGCGUUUGACACCAGUGUUGUUUUUCUGAAAAUCAAUUAAAGAACUGUUUAUGCUAAGUUGUUUAGACUUUAUCAGCUAACUGUUUAGUUUUGAGCUUUUCUUUAAUGCACUUUUCAGUUAACAAGUCAACAUCAAUUUCUUUUGCUGUAAAAAAGCUUGAGGAAGGUGGCUUGAGAUUCGUCUUAAGUGCUUAUAGCCUCUUGCCUAUGCAGUCGGAGAGAUUGAGGUCUGCAGCGUAGAUCCUUCGGGGCUAAAUGCAUUUGUGCUAAGUUAUAGCAUUUUAUAGACAACUUGUUGACUAUGAUUUGUCUUGUAGCUUACUCGCUUAUGUUAUUUUACCUACGCUUAGGAUGUUGAUCUACAGAGCGAGAGU
rnacentral:rRNA from 1 species